rnacentral:lncRNA from 1 species
GAUGGCACGAGUAUUUACCAGGAUGCUUGGAGAUGCGUUGGCAUAUGUCUAGGUAAUGAAAUUGUUGAGAGUGAUUGCUCAACACAUAUCUGGCUAGACUAAAUAAUUCAGAUGGAUUGAAAUUUUUUGUCGGUAACGAGUUACACACAUCUGUAAUGCAGAACAACCUGGUCCACGCAUGGGGUCUGACUUGAAUAUUUCAGGAGAUGACUAGAUGUAAAUCUGACUUUCAGAUAAUACAUCUGUGAAUUACGCAGAAUCAUAUAGAGCAGAUGGGCAUCGUUGACACGUAGUGCAUGACACAUUGCACGAUUAACAUGCUCUUAGGCCAGCUAAGUAACAUAAGACAACUUUUGUAUGAAGAUCGGUUGUUCGGUUUCAUUCUGACAGUUUAGAAGCUUUUGUUUGGCGUUUCUCUCAGCCGGAUAAUAGAGAAAAAGAGACUUACGCAGGGUAUGUUUUCUCUCUCUAACAAUAAUUAAAUUUUGUACUACUUAGAAAACUCGUUAGAUGUUCUUACUGCUUGAUCUCACAUCAUAUUUACGUGCUAAGAAAUGAGUUGUAACUGAAACAAUAAUGUUAAUUUAUGUAGAUAUAUACUGUGUUGGAUAUUAGUUUUUUAUAAAAUUAAUUCCGUGUUCAAUUGGUUUUUCUUUUUGCGUGUCAAGAAUUUUUUUUACAAUCUGUAACAUGAGUAAUUUAUUUGACAUACAUAAAUAUAUAUAUUUUUGUAUACGUGGAAUAUAUUACAAGAUCCAUCAUAAAAUUGAAACAGCAUCAAGGCUCUUUGAAGUCAUAAUAUCCAGCAUCACCUUCAAAUGUCGACGUUCUACCAUGAUUGUGCAAUAUAUUUCAAGGCCCAUGAUAAAACUGAAAGAGCAUCAAGGGUUUUACAGGUCAUGGUGGCUGGGUUUUGCUGGCGUUGUGGUCCAUGCAUACCAAUUCUUUGAAUCAGUGCCACCGUGCAGUGAUGUAAGAAAAAAGUGUGUCGUUUGUCGACUGUGGGCAAUGGAGUGAUGUAGAUGUACUGUAGAGUACAUAUUCAAGGUACAGAGUGAACUAUUUUAGUUCUUUCUUGUGCUAUAUGCCAAUCUCAGAUUUUAUGCUAGGUCUAUUUUAGCUCAACGUUGGUGUUAGUAGUAAAAAACACUUGCAAAUGUAUGUGUCUUGAAUACAUAAAUUUGUGCUCUAGAAGAUAAAUGUAGAGAAUGGUAACAAUAAUUUAAUUCGUUGUUUACUACAAUAUUUGUAUUCAGAAUAAGUAGUAGUUAUACGCUCCUGUGUAGUUUUAGUACCUAACUUGAGAAAUAAAUAAUAGCCUUUCUCUAAAGAGGUUUGAUGCCUUGCUUUUUAUAAUUCAAAUCAUUUGUAUUUGUUUUCUAAUAUUUAAACAUAAUGGUUUGCAGGGAACUGUGAGGUGACUUAGAUAGCUGUAAUGAGCUGAUGGAGCCUUUGACCUGAAGUUAUAUUUGUAUAGAUUACAUGAUUUGUUGAUGAGGAUAAGAAAGAGGAGCUGAUGGCAAACAAACCGAGGAAAGUCACCGAAGAUUGAGGUUGGGUGCGAUGCCACAUCAGAAGGUAUUUAGGCUAUGGGUGAGUUAGGGGCCAUGGAGCGAGCCGAUAGGAGGGUCGAGUAUGGUGCAUACAUGUCAACGUUGGUAGUCAGAACUUGAUGCUGAGUGCGGAUGGGAAUGAUGGGGUGAGGAUGGGCAUGCUUUAGUCCAGCAAUUUAUCAUUGCCAAAUGGUUCAAUCCCGGUGAUGUCAUUGCUGGAUAUGCAAGGUCUCAUUGGGCAAGGUAUUCGAAGUUCUUAAGUGCCUAGGAACCUAGCUGUGCUUUUGUAUUGACGUGAUUAGCAAGUGUAUUUACCGAAGCAUAGAUGUAAUGUGGGUUAUGUGUAGCACCGAAUCUGAGAUGGCUGCAAUCCAGUCGGUUCUGGCAUUGGAGAGUUACGAGUGAAUCAGACUUAAUCAGAUGGCAUCAACACUGUUAAUCAUUGGAAGGUCUGCCGAGCGUUUGAGACGAGAAGCAUGGUGCCAAUACAUACUUUUGGUUCUUAACCCAGAUGAUCUCAUUUAAAGUUGUUGGCGUUUGUUAUAAUCAUUCUUGAUGAGCUGCACAACGCUUCAUGUAUUGCACUACUAAUGUGUUUAUUUGGUGGUCAAACUCCUGUUCCACUCCUAUAUAGAUGCUAUGAAAAUAAUUUGUUUUGUUUACUGAAAUCUGAAUAUAAGUGAAUCUAUCUUAAAUGAGUACAAUGAUUAUAAUUUGUCUUAUGUUAAUACGAUGAUUAUAAUUUUGAAGUGUGGGUGUGACAGGGUUGAGGGAUUGUGAGUCGGAUGUGCCAUUAAUGGCAGCAGGCUUGGAUUGGGGAGUGGAGAUAGUAAGGAAAAAUCAGUAAUCAUGAUAUAUGUUUGACAUGAUUAGUGUAUUAUGCACCGUUGCAACGCACGGACAAGGAGCACAUGAAAGUAGAUAUUUUGCUAAAAUGCAUGGUUGGUGGAGAAACAUAUUUAGAAGAAAG